rnacentral:misc_RNA from 1 species
CGCCAUCUUUUAGUUGUCAAAUUACCGUAGAAUAAAACGGAGUAAAAGUGCUUCUACAUAGCAUACAGUAAAUUUGUGUAUGACUAAUAUAAAAAUCAUUUUAUACUGUGACUCAUUUUUGUGAUUUACACGUUUCAUAUAAUUAUUUUACCUUACGAGGUACUCGUUUAGCUCUAAUUAAAGCGGUGUGAUAUUCACCCGUUGGAGCCAUGAGUUACCAAAUGCCAAUCAAUUCAUCUCGACCAGGGUCUCAUGGUAAUUACCAGGGACUUGGAGAUUUACCAAUGGGUUCAGCAAAAGAACAAACACUGUUAUGGCAACAAGGCUCAUACAUGGGAGAUUCAGGAAUUCAUUCUGGUGUUGCAACAACAGCAGCAUCAUUAUCAGGAAAAGAAGAAGAAGAUAUGGAUAGUGAACAAAUGAUGAUACUAUCAUUGGAUGGUCUUAAUCAAAAUUUUACACAAGAUCAAGUUGAUGAAAUGAAUUCACAACUUAGUCAAACACGUACUGAUCGUGUACGUGCUGCAAUGUUUCCUGAAACAUUAGAAGAAGGUACACCAAUACCAUCAACACAAUUUGAUUCAUCACAACCAACAGCUGUACAAAGACUUGCUGAACCAAGUCAAAUGCUUAAACAUGCUGUUGUUAAUUUAAUAAAUUAUCAAGAUGAUGCUGAUUUAGCAACACGUGCUAUUCCAGAAUUAAUAAAAUUACUUAAUGAUGAAGAUCAAGUUAUUGUAUCACAAGCAGCAAUGAUGGUACAUCAAUUAUCAAAAAAAGAAGCAUCACGUCAUGCUAUUAUGAAUAGUGCACAAAUGGUACAAGCAUUGGUACGUGCAAUAUCACACAGUGAUGAUUUAGAAUCAACAAAAGCAGCUGUUGGUACACUUCAUAAUUUGUCACAUCACAGACAAGGAUUAUUGGCAAUAUUUAAAAGUGGUGGAAUACCAGCACUUGUUAAAUUAUUAAGUUCUGGUGUUGAAUCUGUAUUAUUUUAUGCAAUAACAACACUUCAUAAUCUUUUACUUCAUCAAGAUGGUUCUAAAAUGGCUGUUCGUCUUGCUGGUGGUUUACAAAAAAUGGUUGCAUUAUUACAACGUAAUAAUGUCAAAUUUUUGGCAAUUGUUACUGAUUGUCUUCAAAUUCUUGCUUAUGGUAAUCAAGAAAGUAAACUUAUUAUUCUUGCAUCACAAGGACCAAUUGAACUUGUUCGUAUUAUGCGUUCUUAUGAUUAUGAAAAAUUACUUUGGACAACAUCAAGAGUAUUAAAAGUUUUGUCAGUAUGCUCCAGUAAUAAACCAGCAAUUGUUGAAGCUGGUGGUAUGCAAGCACUUGCAAUGCACUUGGGUAAUCCAAGUCAAAGACUUGUCCAAAAUUGUCUUUGGACUUUACGAAAUCUUUCUGAUGCUGGUACAAAAGUUGAUGGACUUGAAGGAUUACUAUCUGGGCUUGUUCAAGUACUUGCUUCUCAAGAUGUCAAUGUUGUUACAUGUGCAGCUGGAAUUCUUUCAAAUUUAACAUGUAAUAAUCAACGCAAUAAGAUAACAGUCUGUCAAGUUGGUGGUGUCGAUGCCCUUGUUCGUACAAUCAUGAACGCUGGUGAUCGUGAAGAAAUAACAGAACCAGCAGUUUGUGCACUUCGUCAUUUGACUUCACGUCAUGUUGAAGCAGAAGUUGCACAAAAUUCAGUGCGUUUAAAUUAUGGUAUUCAGGUUAUUGUAAAACUUCUUCAUCCUCCAUCACGUUGGCCAUUGGUUAAAGCAGUCAUUGGACUUAUUCGUAAUUUAGCACUUUGUCCAGCUAAUCAUGCACCUUUACGUGAACAUGGUGCUAUUCAUCAUCUUGUAAGACUUUUAAUGCGUGCAUUCCAAGAUACAGAAAGGCAAAGAGCAUCAGUUGCAGGUAUGGGAACACAACAAGCUUAUGCUGAUGGUGUUCGUAUGGAAGAAAUUGUUGAAGGCACUGUUGGUGCACUUCAUAUUCUUGCAAGGGAAUCACACAACAGAGCAAUUAUUAGAUCUCAAAAUGUUGUGCCAAUUUUCGUUCAGUUACUAUUCAAUGAGAUUGAAAAUAUACAGCGUGUUGCUGCUGGUGUACUGUGUGAAUUAGCAGCUGACAAAGAAGGUGCAGAAAUGAUUGAACAAGAAGGUGCAACAGCACCACUUACUGAAUUACUACAUUCACGUAAUGAAGGUGUUGCAACUUAUGCUGCUGCAGUACUUUUCCGCAUGAGUGAGGAUAAACCUCAAGAAUACAAAAAACGUCUAUCCAUGGAACUUACCAAUUCACUGUUCCGUGAUGAACCAAAUAUGUGGAAUAAUGGUGAUUUCGCUAUGAAUCAAGAUUUACAGGAUAUGCUCGGUACUGAUCAAGGCUUUGAUGGUAUGUAUGGACAGGGACCCCCUAGUGUACACAGCAGUCAUGGAGGCCGUGGUUAUCAGCCCCAAGAGUAACUCAUGGACUUAAUUUUUAAGGCUAUCAACAAAAAUUAAAAAAAAUAUCGCAGUAACAUAGCCGGUUAUGACCAGAUACCAAUAGACUCAAUGCAAGGAUUAGAAAUUGGAGGUGGUUCAACAUACGGAGCAAUGGAUGCAAUGGAUAUCGCACAUGAUGGAGAUC